rfam:Ovis aries breed Texel chromosome 6, whole genome shotgun sequence.
CCCCUGGUGGCUCAGACAGUAAAGCGUCUGCCUGCAGUGCGGGAGACCCAGGUUAGAUUCCUGGGUUGGGAA